rnacentral:rRNA from 1 species
AAUUUAAGCAUAUAAUUAAGCGGAGGAAAGAAACUAACCAGGAUUCCCCUAGUAAGGGCGACUGAAGCGGGAAUAGCUCACACUGUGAAUCUGCGCAUUGCGCCGAAUUGUGGUCUGUAGAAGUAUGUGUUUGGCACGCCGGGCCAAGUUCCUUGGAACAGGGCAGCUAAGAGGGUGAGACUCCCGUAAUUGCCCGGGCUGAGGCCAUUUGACACUUGCUUUCGACGAGUCGAGUUGUUUGGGAUUGCAGCUCAAAGUCGGUGGUAAAUUCCAUCUAAAGCUAAAUAUGGGUGGGAGACCGAUAGCGUACAAGUACCGUGAGGGAAAGAUGCAAAGAACUUUGAAAAGAGAGUUAAAGAGUACCUGAAAUUGCUGAAAGGGAAGCGAAGGAAACCAGUGAUUUGCUUUGUCAUAUUUCUCCUCCCGCUUGCGGGUGGGGCGCUGUGGCKCUGCAUGUGUCAUUUUUGGCUGGCCUCGACAGAAACCUGGCUUUGGGAGGUAGGUCCAUUGGGCUGAUACCAUUGCCGUGUGUGUCGGGGGCGACUGAGGUUGACGAAAUGGUUUUCUUUACCCCGUCUAGAAACACGGACCAAGGAGUCUAACAUAUGUGCGAGUACAGGGGUGGCAAACCCCCGUGCGGAAUGAAAGUGACAGUGGUUGGACCUUUGGGCACAAUCCGCCGGCCUCAAUCCUUCGGGAGAACGGUCUGAGUGUGAGCAUACAUGUUGGGACCCGAAAGUUGGUGAACUAUGUUGAGUAGGGUAAAGCCAGGG